GAUGAACGCUGGCGGCGUGCCUAAUACAUGCAAGUCGAGCGAACAGACGAGGAGCUUGCUCCUCUGACGUUAGCGGCGGACGGGUGAGUAACAUGUGGAUAACCUACCUAUAAGACUGGGAUAACUUCGGGAAACCGGAGCUAAUACCGGAUAAUAUAUUGAACCGCAUGGUUCAAUAGUGAAAGACGGUUUUGCUGUCACUUAUAGAUGGAUCCGCGCCGCAUUAGCUAGUUGGUAAGGUAACGGCUUACCAAGGCAACGAUGCGUAGCCGACCUGAGAGAGUGAUCGGCCACACUGGAACUGAGACACGGUCCAGACUCCUACGGGAGGCAGCAGUAGGGAAUCUUCCGCAAUGGGCGAAAGCUUGACGGAGCAACGCCGCGUGAGUGAUGAAGGUCUUCGGAUCGUAAAACUCUGUUAUUAGGGAAGAACAAAUGUGUAAGUAACUAUGCACGUCUUGACGGUACCUAAUCAGAAAGCCACGGCUAACUACGUG
rnacentral:rRNA from 1 species